rnacentral:tRNA from 1 species
GGCCAAGUGCCCGAGUGGUUAGGGAGCCGCCUGCAAAGCGGUCCACGCCGGUUCGAUUCCGGUCUUGGCCUCGA